rnacentral:rRNA from 1 species
UUGGUCAUUUAGAGGAAGUAAAAGUCGUAACAAGGUCUUCGUAGGUGAACCUGCGGAGGGAUCAUUACAAGUGACCCCGGUCUUACCACCGGGAUGUUCAUAACCCUUUGUUGUCCGACUCUGUUGCCUCCGGGGCGACCCUGCCUUCGGGCGGGGGCCCCGGGUGGACACUUCAAACUCUUGCGUAACUUUGCAGUCUGAGUAAACUUAAUUAAUAAAUUAAAACUUUUAACAACGGAUCUCUUGGUUCUGGCAUCGAUGAAGAACGCAGCGAAAUGCGAUAAGUAAUGUGAAUUGCAGAAUUCAGUGAAUCAUCGAAUCUUUGAACGCACAUUGCGCCCCCUGGUAUUCCGGGGGGCAUGCCUGUUCGAGCGUCAUUUCACCACUCAAGCCUCGCUUGGUAUUGGGCAACGCGGUCCGCCGCGUGCCUCAAAUCGACCGGCUGGUCUUCUGUCCCCUAAGCGUUGUGGAAACUAUUCGCUAAAGGGUGCUCGGGAGGCUACGCCGUAAAACAAACCCAUUUCUAAGGUUGACCUCGGAUCAGGUAGGGAUACCCGCUGAACUUAAGCAUAUCAAUAAG